GCGGCAGGCUUAACACAUGCAAGUCGAGGGGCAUCGGGAGGGAAGCUUGCUUUCCUUGCCGGCGACCGGCGCACGGGUGAGUAACACGUAUGCAACCUGCCCUCUUCAGGGGGACAACCUUCCGAAAGGGAGGCUAAUCCCGCGUAUAUCGGUUUCGGGCAUCCGAGAUCGAGGAAAGAUUCAUCGGAAGAGGAUGGGCAUGCGGCGCAUUAGCUAGACGGCGGGGUAACGGCCUACCGUGGCGACGAUGCGUAGGGGUUCUGAGAGGAAGGUCCCCCACACUGGUACUGAGACACGGACCAGACUCCUACGGGAGGCAGCAGUGAGGAAUAUUGGUCAAUGGGAGAGAUCCUGAACCAGCCAAGCCGCGUGAGGGAAGACGGCCCUAUGGGUUGUAAACCUCUUUUGUCGGAGAACAAAACCCGGGACGAGUCCCGGACUGCGUGUAUCCGAAGAAAAAGCAUCGGCUAACUCCGUGCCAGCAGCCGCGGUAAUACGGAGGAUGCGAGCGUUAUCCGGAUUUAUUGGGUUUAAAGGGUGCGUAGGCGGUCCGUUAAGUCAGCGGUAAAAUUGCGGGGCUCAACCCCGUCGAGCCGUUGAAACUGGCAGACUUGAGUUGGCGAGAAGUACGCGGAAUGCGCGGUGUAGCGGUGAAAUGCAUAGAUAUCGCGCAGAACUCCGAUUGCGAAGGCAGCGUACCGGCGCCAGACUGACGCUGAGGCACGAAAGCGUGGGGAUCGAACAGGAUUAGAUACCCUGGUAGUCCACGCAGUAAACGAUGAAUGCUGGUUGUCCGGGUCGAAUGAGACCUGGGCGGCGAAGCGAAAGCGAUAAGCAUUCCACCUGGGGAGUACGCCGGCAACGGUGAAACUCAAAGGAAUUGACGGGGGCCCGCACAAGCGGAGGAACAUGUGGUUUAAUUCGAUGAUACGCGAGGAACCUUACCCGGGCUCAAACGGGAGUGGAAUGGACCAGAGACGGUUCAGCCUACGGGCCGCUUCCGAGGUGCUGCAUGGUUGUCGUCAGCUCGUGCCGUGAGGUGUCGGCUUAAGUGCCAUAACGAGCGCAACCCCCGCCGGCAGUUGCUAACGGGCAAUGCCGAGGACUCUGCCGGGACUGCCGCCGCAAGGCGUGAGGAAGGCGGGGAUGACGUCAAAUCAGCACGGCCCUUACGUCCGGGGCGACACACGUGUUACAAUGGGCGGUACAGCGGGAAGCCAGGCGGCGACGCCGAGCGGAACCCGAAAGCCGUUCUCAGUUCGGAUCGGAGUCUGCAACCCGACUCCGUGAAGCUGGAUUCGCUAGUAAUCGCGCAUCAGCCAUGGCGCGGUGAAUACGUUCCCGGGCCUU
rnacentral:rRNA from 1 species